AGACAUGUAGCUGCUUAUUUGUUCAUUAGGUCAUUUAAAAUCCAACGCAGAUAUUUUCUACUACCUCAGUGUGUCAUCUUGCCCACCCUCCAUUCGCUGUACCCACGCUGAACCUGUUCUGUCAUCUCUUCAGGAAGAAAGUUAUUGAUUAUUUUGAAAGGAUACCAUAUUGUUUUAAAGUUGUAUGAAUAUUGUUAACAGUGUUGUUUGGAUGCUUAAGAAACAUCUACCUUGAAGGGGAAAAAUGUUACAGGCCUCCUAACUUAGUCUAAUUACUGAAUUAAGGAAGUCAGAUGCCUUCACACUGACUGUGAACAACUUUCUUGACUUCCUGCAAAGAGGACCCUUUACAGUAUUUUUGGAGAAGUUACUAAAACCGAACCUGACAUCACUACCUAGUGGUGCUGCUGGCAAGUGGUUUGUUCUUAGGGUGACAGAGGAGGAAAUUGCUCCCCUUCUGAUAAGAUAACAGAGAAGAAAGGACGCAUGCUGGUUCCUGGGAAUACGGCUGAUUUCCAGAUAUGACCAUGUAUUUGUGGCUUAAACUUCUGGCAUUUGGCUUUGCAUUUCUGGACACAGGAGAGUUCGUUACGGGGCAAACUUCACAUGUGCCCAGUACUGGUAAGAAUUAAUAUUUGCAUUUUACUUACUUUAUUUUUGUUGCAAAGUUUGUAUAUUUAAUGUUGUUAGAAUUUUCUAUUAUUAUCUAAUGGAAUGAUUUCAUAAGGAGAAACAAUAAUUAUGGAUGAUUCUUGACAUUUUCUUGUUUUUAAUAUUCCUGCUUAUAAGAUAUAGUUUGAUUACUACCUAAACAUACUAUUUAUAUAAGUAUUGUUGUGUAUAAAUUAUAGAUUUUCUUAAACUUGACAGUAAAUGGCAUGGUAGGAUUCCAUCUCUUUUUAAAUGUUAACACUACAAAUAAGUUAUAUCAUAAAAUUUUAUAGGUCAAGAAUGGGUUAAGGAAUUAUCUGAGAAAUUGUCAUUCUAAAUAUAUAUAUAUAUAUAUACAUGCAGACAUAUAUUCUUUCAAAAGAAAAUCUUCGAGACUAUUAAGAUAUUUUGUAAUAAUCAUUUCCCAAUUCUGCUCUCACACUGAAUAGUCUUAAGAAAUGUCCUAAUCCUGAGAUUAAUUAAAUUUAAGCAAUGAAUAAAUAAAUUCUUACAUCUACCAUAUAAAAUGAGAGGGACAAGUCAGAUUGUAGCUCUUAAAAAUUAACUACAUCACUUGAAUGUAAUUGAAAAUGUAUUUUGAUUUCCUGAUCGAUCGUACAGCUGGCGGUUAUGCAUCAAGGCAAGUCUGAUUUCAUGACUGCAGGGCUCAGUUGUCACUUGAAAUGCACAUUUAAAAUGUUCUGAGAACUGGGUUAUUAAAGGAAUUAUUUUUAUAGUUAAAUGAAAAUUCAUUCUGAACUAUGGAAACUAAGAACUAUGCAAAAAGUAACAGAAAGCACCUGAAUCUGCAAAGGAGCAUAUUCUCUUAUGUUUUAAAAGAUAUGGUAUUAGAAUUUUAUAGUUUUGUAAUAUGGCAGUGAGGUCUUAUAAACGUAUGAAAGUCAAUAAUGCCUUGCGGACUAGGAUGGGUUUAUGCCACGUCUUCACGUGGGACUUAGCAUCUCUACCUUUCAUAGCAAAGUUCAUCGCAACCCUAUAACCUGCUUAUUUUUGCAGGAGGGGAAUGGGACUGGGGUGGAAUGGGGAGUGAAUGUUUAAAAUGGUAACUGACUCAUAGCCUUGUUGAGAGCGUUUCCACAUCUCUGUACUGACUCUCUUAUAAGAAGCCUCCAAAUGAUGAAACCAGGUAAGUCAAGACAGUGACCCACACUGAGGACCCAAAUGUCUCUCCCAGACAUGGGGCCAGUGAGAACGUCAUCAAUGGAAACUCAUAGCACCUCCGAGGCAAGAGCGUGAGGACAGUGCAUGUCAGCAUCUGAAGCAUGUUUUCUAAUCCUAAAUAAAAUAUUACUUAUUGAACUUAGGAACGUGCACUGAGCUUAAGUUGUAUGCAAGGAUAUUAAGGCUUCUAGACAGGAGGGUGAUCCUCCCAACACCUGUUCUCCACACGCCCUGGACUGAAGUUGUUUGACUCCAGGUCACCCCCAGGAACGCUCCUCCUCAGGCGGGACAGGGCUGUCCUGGCGGGAACUCAGAGUGAUUUUCCUCUAGUCUCUUUGUAAUUCGAGUCUAACAAAAGACUGGGGGUGCUGAUAAAGGAAAUAUGCUGCAAGAUUUCUUUCAGAGCAAAAGGGGUCAUUGGAAACCUGCCAACACCAAACUU